GACGAACGCUGGCGGCGUGCUUAACACAUGCAAGUCGAACGGUAAGGCCCUUCGGGGUACACGAGUGGCGAACGGGUGAGUAACACGUGGGUGAUCUGCCCUGCACUUCGGGGUAAGCCUGGGAAACUGGGUCUGAUACCGGAUAGGACUCCGGACUGCAUGGUCUGGGGUGGAAAGCUUUUGCGGUGUGGGAUGGGCCCGCGGCCUAUCAGCCUGUUGGUGGGGUGAUGGCCAACCAAGGCGACGACGGGUAGCCGGCCUGAGAGGGGGAGCGGCCACACUGGGACUGAGACACGGCCCAGACGCCUACGGGAGGCAGCAGUGGGGAAUAUUGCACAAUGGGGGCAAGCCUGAUGCAGCGACGCCGCGUGAGGGAUGACGGCCUUCGGGUGGUAAACCUCUUUCAGCAUCGACGAAGCGAAAGUGACGGUAGGUGCAGAAGAAGGACCGGCCAACUACGUGCCAGCAGCCGCCGUAA
rnacentral:rRNA from 1 species